CGAACUAUAGCCGGUGACCGAAGUGGCCGCCAUUACGGUCUUCCGUUCGACAUUGAAUCGCAUCCCGAGCAUUGUCUACGCAUUCUUGCGAUUCCUCGGGUGUCUACGCCGACAAGAGGAGCACGACUCGACCAACUCCACGGAAUUCGUCCUAAUAAAUCUAAUUCCUACGGACCCGUUAGAUUCGAAACUCUUGUCCCUCAAUUUCUGAAGAUCCACCAGCUUUGCAACCCUAAAUCUCAAACAUCUAACCUGCCACCCACUGAUCAAAGAAUAUACGAGGCUCCUUAGCUACAAAUGUGGCAUGAUACUCACUUGUCCUGGCAGGAAGCAGGCAAACCAUGAACAGGCAUAGAAUAGAGGUGAGGAUCCUCGAGAGAUGGCUCGAAGAUCUCUUCAUGGUCCUCGGUGGAGGGUCGCUGAAAGGCGAAGGUGGAUCCUCUGCGAGGAUUCGCAGCCCGUGGAUGAUACGUAGCCCGCGGAAAGCCGACUGUGACUAUUCCAGCAACCACCGUCCACGUACUGCAGCCAGGAGCGUGGUAUCUGGACGACAGAAAUCAGUAUAACACCGUUUCCCUAACGCGGUCGGGAUCAAACUCGCGUAGGACUCCCUUGAUUGGCUCUAACGCGGGAUAAUUGCGUCGCGGCCAAGCCCGGACGACCUUAACCGCUUGAUUGCCCGUAAAUGACGCGCAUUAUCGCCAGGAUUCUUUCGAGAUUAGGCUCGUCGGCGUCUUCGCGAACGGACUGCGCCGUAACGUGUGCCGGAAACCGUGACCCAGAACCGAGAACUAAUCGAGAAACGAUAUCGAUGGAAGAUCCCCGCUUGUUGCGAUUAUUCUGCGCUAUUGUAUCCUAAUAUAGGCCUUCUGCUAUAGUCUUGAAUUUUUAUCGCUUCAAUUAGGGAAGUAUCAGAGGCUUUCGUUGAUCUUCGUGCCGAGUAUACCGGUUCGUAAGUAUGAACGAACGUGUUUUGCUUGUUUAGUAAAUAUAUGAACGUUGUUUCUCACUA